AAUAUUGUAAUAAUGUUGGUAUGAGUAUUAAUACCAGUAUAAUUUGUUUGAAAGCCCACUAUACCAAUAUACCUAGAAAAAAAGCCACGAGAAAACUACGCAUAAACAACGGACACUCAUAUAUAAGCAUGAUAGACAACAGCAGAAUAUACUUAGCCUUCAACAUUCAAUAUUCAUGGUUUGGGAUGAAAAAACGAUAACAGAUAAGCGACAGUAAAAUGAGUAAAGAAGAGUUACAUUCACUGUUAUUUUUGUUGAAAUAUUGAUGACGUCGACAAUUCCAAUUUUGAUUUUAUUAAAUGGAGAUUCUGAUAAACUACAAAAUUGUUGUUCAAAUUUGAAUAAUUUAAAAUCUUUUAUUUUCACGCAGUGCCUUCCCUUGAUAUGAUCACAAAACUGGUAGGAAGAAAGAUGAUUAUGAUUUUCAAACUGAGUUUCCAUUAUAUGAUGAGCAAAAAAAAGUAAGUAAAAGAUUUAAUAAUAACGACAAUAUAAUACGAAACAAUAAUAAUUAUUGCAUUGAAUUGGGAUUUUAAAAUCAAUGCAUAAUUAUUCGGAUAAUAUCAUACCUUGCUUGAAAAAAGCAAUGAAAAAGUUAAGAUAUUUUUCUUGCAGGUAUAGUAAAUACGUGCAACGUUAUGUUCAGCAGAAAUAAUAAAAGCAUAAUAAAUUUUCCUAUAUUCGGUUUACAGAGCGACAUAGUUGAUAUACUGUGACUGCAUCUGGUACGACAUGAUGUAGACCUGGAUGUACGUUUAAACUUGUUGUGGUUGGUUGCAAAAAUGAACGUAGGCUAUGUUUUUUUUUUUUUUUAUUAAGUAAUUUUCAUUUUCUCUUUUUUGAUAAUCAGUAAAAGUAAUAAAUGAUAUUUUGUUUUGGUACCGACUUUUUAUGUUAAAAUAGCAGGUUCGUCCUUCAGGCUCACAAUAUUAUUUACCGAUAGCAUAUAUUCAUUAUCUAUAUAUAACGGAUGCCAAUAAAAGUAUCAUACAUACAGGGACUUUCUCAUUCUCCAUAUCAUCGUAUUUGUAUCUACCAUAAUCAACAUGAUGCGUUAACUGAUAUCUACCUUUGCCGCUUUUUUUUUUACAAAAAAUAAGAAUAGAUUAUAAUAACAAUUUGUCUUCACUUCUUAGAUGUAGACUAAUGUAAAUGUACCUUCCGUCUCUUUUUCAGCGGUUCACCGACAACUAAUCAUAGAGGGAAUGUGAGACAGGUUACAUCAUUAUGUUAGAAAACAUCCCCAUACCAUCUAUUCGACAAUCAAAUAUAAGUACAGAAAAUCAUAGCAAACGGCUUUUGUUAAGUUUUGGGAAUAAAUAAAGGCAACAGUAGUAUACCGCUGUUCAAAACUCAUAAAUCCAUGGACAAAAAACAAAAUCG
rnacentral:lncRNA from 1 species